GGUUCUAUGGUGUAGCGGUUAGCAUAAUGGAUUCUGAUUCCAUCGACCCCGGUUCGAUUCCGGGUAGGACCU
rnacentral:tRNA from 1 species